rnacentral:rRNA from 1 species
AUACGUAGGGGGCAAGCGUUAUCCGGAUUUACUGGGUGUAAGGGGAGCGUAGGCGGCCAUGCAAGUCAGAAGUGAAAGCCCGGGGCUCAACCCCGGGACUGCUUUGGAAACUGUGGAACUGGAGUGCAGGAGAGGUAAGUGGAAUUCCUAGUGUAGCGGUGAAAUGCGUAGAUAUUAGGAGGAACACCAGUGGCGAAGGCGGCUUACUGGACUGUAACUGACGUUGAGGCUCGAAAGCGUGGGGAGC